GUGUGUGCCCACCUGAGAUGCUUACUGCCUGCUUGUCUGCGAAUAUGCAUUCCACUCACAGAAUGAGAAACAUUCCAACCACGGGAGGUUUGGAAAAGAGAGCUACUAUCUUGUGGAGGCUUACUUUGGAAUCCGGUUUUCAUGCACAUGGGAAUGUAAAAUGCCCAGAGAAACCCUGGCUGACAUCCUGCAAGAUGUUUCCAGGGAACAAGGAUUUAGGGCAGGAGCCUCCUUCAUCUGUCUUGGGCAUCUCAAAGCUUGGGCUGAGGAAGAGCAAGAUGCAUGCUGGGUGAGAAGGGGUUGGAUGAUGGUCCCUGUGCCUCCCGUGUGUUCAUCUCCUGUGCUCCUGCUCUGCCUUGUAUGCAGCUAGCGUUUGAGAGUCAACAUCUCUGUUCCUGACAGAACAGUG